rnacentral:rRNA from 1 species
CCGUGCGUAGAGGGGCACCUCGGGAACUGAGGCUAAUACCCCAUAGGCGACAGACUCUGGAAUGACUGUCACUCAAACGGGACCGAGAUGAUACCUUUUGGUUCCGCCUACGGAUGGGUCUGCGGCGGAUUAGGCUGAUGUUAGGGUAACGGCCUAACAUACCUACAAUCCGUACCGGCUAUGAGAGUAGGAGCCGGGAGAUGGACACUGAGACAACGGUCCAGGCUCUACGGAGCGCAGCAGGCGCGGAAACUCUGCAAUGCGCGCAAGCGUGACAGGGGAACUCCAAGUGUGCCUGUACAACAGGCACUUUUGUUGUAUGUAAAAAGUACGACGAAUAAGGGGUGGGCAAGACUAGUGCCAGCCUCCGCGGUAAAACUAGCAUCCCAAGUGGUAGUCGCGAUUAUUUGGCUUAAAGCGUCCGUAGUCGGGCCGUUUAGUCCUCUGUGAAAUCCUCCGGCUUAACCGUAGGGCUUGCAGAGGAUACUGGCGGCCUUGGAGCCGGGAGAGGUUGGGGGUAUUUCCAGGGUAGCGGCGAAAUGCUAUAACCCUGGAAGGACCACCGAUAGCGAAGGCACCCAACUAGAACGGGCUCGACGAUGAGGGACGAGAGCUAGGGGAGCAAACCGGAUUAGAUACCCGGGUAGUCCUAGCCGUAAACGAUGCAGGCUGAGUGUCUCCUGAACUUCGAGUUCAGGAGGUGCUGAAGGGAAACCGUUAAGCCUGCCGCCUGGGGAGUACGGUCGCAAGGCUGAAACUUAAAGGAAUUGGCGGGGGAGCAC